UCUUUGAUUACGAGUCGCACCUAAUUUCUCACCUUGAUAUAUUAUCAAGGGUUAAAAUGAUUACAUAUCCACAAUAAAGUGAAAGGUACAUCUAUAAAAGGCAAUAAAUGGUAAUUUAAUCAGAUCAGGCUGUCAAUAAUGAGAAUUUCUCAUCCUCAACUAACUUGAGGCCAAUUGGACUCAACUUAUAUAGGAAAAAAAAAGGAAAAUAAAAUCCUCAAAAAAAAAAUCAAUAAAGGAGUGGUGGGGAGCAAAAUAAAAUCCUCCAAAAAAUCGAAAAAUGAUAUGGAGUGGGGGAACCUCAUUGUCAGUAACAAACCCCCCUUUCAACUCAAAUUAUUGACUGGAGAAAGAGCCAAUUCUCACCAAUUUUUUCCCUCCCAAUUUUUGCACCAAAAAAUAAUGAAAUUAGUAAGUUAUUCCCUAAAGCUUUCCAAAAAAAAAUAAUCGAAGAGGACCCAAUUAUUGAUUAUUGAAGCUUGACAAAGCAAAACGAAGUAAUCCCAAAAUUUAGAGACGAGUUUGGCCGAGCUGAGUGGAGUUGUGAAGCUGGAUUAUUGAUGAAGACUCAGAAAUUGAUUACCGCAGCUGAAAGAGACGAGUUUGGCUGAGAGCUGAGUAGUUUGCGAAAAUGGAUUAUGGCGCUUGUGUGAAUAGAGAAAGUGAAAUUAUUGAGGUUAGUUAUUAUUUGUUCAAAACUUGGUCAUUGCUGAAAUUGGAAAAGGGAGGAACAACAUGCAAUUGUUUUGGAUUUGUCGAUCUAUUUUUAAUUUGUCGAUUUAUUUGUGCUUAAUUGGUUUGAUUUUUGGACAAUUGAAUUUGUGUCAUCUAAUUAAAUGCUUGUUGUCUAAAUUGUGUUGAUGCUCAUGUUGUGGUAUUAUGAAAUUUGUCUUCUACAUUUGCUUAUGUUCAUGUUGUGGUGUUAUGAAAUUGUUCUCUAAAUUUGCUUAUUGUAAUUGAAUGAUUGUACUGGGAAUUCGAUUGAAUGUUGCUCCUGCUGUGUUUUUCAUGGUUCGUUGGAUUUAAUUGAAUGAUUCUACUGGAAAUUAGCUUGAUUAGUGCUCCUGUGGUUGCUGUUAGUUGUUGUUGUGAGAAUUUUGUCUCCCUAAUUGAUGUUGUUCUGUUCCCAUAAGCAGAAUGCCUGUGAGUACCAUGUCAUAGAGGGAGACUCAAUAGGUUGUAGCUCAGAUAGCUCAGACAGUGAUGAAAGUUCACAAAGAGUUUUGAAUGAUGAUGGGUAGGAGGGUUUUGACUUGAAUAAGGAGCCACUAGCUGAUGGUUUUCACAAAGUUAUCAUGUAGGGUGGCAUUACUAGGGACAGUAAUUGACUUGAAUGAAUAUUGUAGUGUGGGUUGUCAUAUUGGAGCUUCAAAGGAGUCAGACAGUUGGACAGGUACUUCAUUACCUCAAUUAAAAGUGUGAAUGGUGUUAAGCACUUGGAAUGAAAUGAAUAAGUUUUAUCGUGAUUAUGGGAGGUAAGAAGGAUUUGGUGUUGUGUGUAUAGGUGGUGGAAAGUAAACCUCCAAAAAUGCGGGAAAGUCAAAUUCAUAUCGCACUUAUGUUUGGAAGUAUGAGUGCUACGGGAAGACAACAUACAAAAUGAGGGUUAAUGGUAAAAGUUGUGGUUAAGGAAGUACCAGUACUGAAGAAGACUAAAAAAAUGCAAUUGUCCAAUUUUGAUUUACGGGCAAGGUAAUGUUGAAGGUGUUUGGAUGAUAAAGAAGGAUGUCAAUGAGCACAAUCAUGUAGUGAGUCCUAAAUUGUCCAAACGCAUAGCUAUGUACAGGAAGGAGAAUAUUACAAAGCAUUUGGAGCAUAAGAUUGAAAAUGACCAUGGAUCUGGUGCUCUGAUAGGGCAGAAUUACAACAAUAAAGCCAAAGAAAUUGUGUUGUCAAUAUGGAAUUCACUAAAAAAGAUAUGCACAAUUUGGUGAAUAGAAAGAGGAGGUUGAAGUUAAAAAUUGGUGAUGCCUCGGCUAUGUUGGACUAUUUUAAUAGGAUGAGUGUCGAUAAUCAAUUUUUUUUUCACAUGCAUCUCCUUGAUGAGAAGGGGAUCGAGGUUGAAAGAUAAUGUGUGGGCUGAUGCUCGGAGUAGGAAGGCAUAUAAGUAUUUUGGGGAUGUCGUAUGUUUUGAUUCCACGUACCUAACAAAUCAGUACGGACUUUCGUUUUCGAACUUUGUAGGGGUCAAUCACCAUGGUCAGACUAUCCUGGUUGGGUGUGCGUUGGUUUCUCAUGAGAAUGCAGAGACCUUUGAGUGGUUAUUCAGGAUUUGGAUGUCAUGUAUGAGAGGCAAGGCCCCGGCAGCGAUCAUGACAUAUCAGGAUGCGGCUAUGAGGAAGGCAAUUAGAGCUGUUUUUCCCAUGCCUCAAACAUGCCAUCGGUCAUGUAUGUGGCAUAUUAUGAAGAAGUUUGGGCAGAAACUUGGUGCUUUGUCUAACUAUCAGGAUGUCAAAGAGGAGUUGCACCAUAUGAUCUACAAUAGCAUUACCUUGGAGGAUUUUGUUGAGUAUUGGUGAGAAUUUGUGAAAAAGUUCAAGCUAAAAGAAUUUGAGUGUUAUGAUUGGCUGGAACGUCAGUGAUCUGAAUUGCUUUAAUUAAUGUUAUUGUCCAUGGUAUUUUGAGUUAUUGGGUCUGAUUAUUUGGUUCUAUAUUUUUGCUUUUGUUUACAUGCUUUGUUGAUUUAUUGUGUCUGUUUGGUUUCGAUUAGUGGGUUUUGUUUUGUUCUGCUAUAUUUGGCAGUACCAACAUGAGCUUGGAUGGUACUUCGUUUAAUACUGUUUUGUUCUACUAUAUAUUUGGUUGUACCAACGUGAGAUUGGAUGGUACUUCGUUUAAUACUGAUGUGUAGUUGAAAUGGUGUUGAAGUUCUUAGAUGGUAUCUUAUGGACAGAAUCUUGGUUGAAAUUCUUAGAUGGUAUCUUAUAGACAAAAUCUAACUUGUAGUGGACACAUGCUUCCAUGCCAUAUUCAUUAUGAUUUUGAACUUAUGUUGACACUGCAUUUGACUUUGUAAUUCAUCCUUGUGUAUUGGUAUUUUAUUGUGAGAAGUUAAUUAAAUUAUUAAAAUUCAUCCCUGAUGGUGUGUGUUUUGUUCCCUGUUAAUCACUGUUGUUUGUGGGUAGGGAUGGCAAUAGAUCCGUAUCCGACCCGGAUCCGUGGAUCCAUAUCCGUUUUUACGGAUAUGGAUCUUAAUAUUUUGGACCCGUCGGAUCCGGGUCGGAUCUGGAUCCGAAUAUUGGACCCGGAUCCAGAUCCGUUUACCCGUUUUGUUCUUAAAAAUAAGAAAUAAUUUGAUGCAAACCAUACCCUAAGGCCCAGCCUACAAGCCCACAAACCUCACGGACUACACUCACUGACUCCCCUUAACACUAAUUACAUCUCUCAAAAACCAAACUAAAUCUAGCACACUGUUUCUCUACCUCUAAUUUUCCCUCUCUACCCCUAAAUCCUAACCCAGCGACAAUUAAAUUGAACGAUUUGACACCAGCAAGCACUCCAAGUGGUGGCUCUUCACUCGGAUAUAUAUUGGCCGAAACAAGCAGCAAUUGUAGCUCUCCGUAUUAAGCACUCCAAGUGGUGACUCUUCACUCGGAUGCUGACUCUUCACUCGGAUGUUGCUGUUUUCAACACUAGUUUUGAUAUGCCGGUUUGCCGAUGAUGGCUGUCAUGACUGCUCCUUCCUUUUUGAUAGUCAUGAAUUUGUUAUUAGAUAUGAGUUUGUGAUUACUAUUUCAAGGAACUACAUAUGCUAAAUUGUGCAGUACAACUGUUCCUUGAGUUUUAUAUUUUAUGAUUAUAAGUUGGAUGUUUGAUAAAUGUGAAUUAGAUAAUAUUGUUGAUAGAAUUGUUUAAUCAUUGAAAUAUACUCGUAUAGCUAAGCAUAGUGAAAUUUGUAAAAUAAAGUCAUUUUUGGUUUAAUUUUUUUACUUAUUUAAUUUAUUGCUAGAUUUAUUUUGGACCCGGAUCCAUAGGACCCGACGGAUCUGGAUAUGGAUCCUCAUUUUUUAUACCCGACGGAUCCGGGUCGGAUAUGGAUCUUAGGCAGAAAAACGAAUCUAGAUCAGGAUCUUUUAGGAUCGGGUCCAGAUCCGACCCGUUGCCAUCCCUAUUUGUGGGUGUCUCUGAUGUAUCCAUUACCAGCUGGACAAUGCUCUAUUAGGAAUGCUAGAUGUUGAUUGGAUGUAUGAUGUUUGUGUUUGGUAGUAGGGAUGUUCGAGGAAAGAGAGAUGUGGACUCCCACGUACGUUAAAAAUGUCUUUUGGGCAGGAAUGCAAACAACUCAAAGGGUCGAGAGCAUCAACAAAUUUUUUGAUGGGUAUAGUAACAAGCACACUCGCUUAUCCGAGUUUGCUCCUAAUUAUUGCAAGGCGAUGGGAAGUCGUGCAAAUUAUGAGGAGGAUGCGGAUGCAAACUCGGCGCGUUAUGUAAGGCCUUUAUUAUCAUAAUUUCAGUAAGAAUGUAAAUUUCAAAAAGUAUAUACGGAUGCAAAUUUAUCGAAGUACAAAAUCAGUGCAACCGUGUGGCAUAUGUGACCCUUGUCAGGCCAAAGAAGAUGGUGGCAUAUAAUGAGGAAAAGCAUGUCUUCUCAGAUCGUGUAUAACACGGAGAGAAGCUAAGUACCGCUACAAAAUAGGUUGAUGAGUAUAGAGUUUUGUAUAACACGGAGAAAAAAGAGGCGUAUUGUGAUUGUCGCCACUUUGAAUGUCAUGGGAUUGUUUGUAGACACAUAAUAAAGGUCUUGGACAUGAAUGGUUUUACUGAGAUCCCUUCCAUGUACAUUCUAGAUAGGUGGAGAAAUGAUAUUAGUAGGAAACAUACCCUUACCAAAGUUGCUUAUCAUGAUGCCUCCAAAACAGAAGAGGUGAUGAGAUAUGAUAAUUUGAUGCUAGCUCUUGAACCUGUUGUUAUGCGUGCUUCAUCAGAAGAAGAAGUUGUUGAGGUCUUAAUGGACAUGAUUUAGUUAAUGAGCAUCAAAGUUGAUGAACUACAAGUGUUGGCUCAAGGUUCAGGCCAAGGUUCUAGCGGUGAUAAAAGGCCUAGUUGUGAUCUUAAGGUGGUGAAACAGGCUAAUCCUCCAACUCUAAAAGCCCCUAGCUCAGGUAACAAAGGUAGCAUUGCACAACCAGAAGACACUCCUAAUUCAUGUGUGAAAGACCCUAAACCCCGGGAUAAUAAAAAAGGCAGACCUAGAGGAUCUCGGUUCAUAUACCCGGCAGAAAAAAGGGGUUCGAAUAAACAGGUUGAGAUUGCCAAGACAGGAGGUAAGGAGAAACAGGUUACGGGGCAUGAGACUAAUGUGGAUAAUGACUAUGGGACUGUACACCCCUUCAGCUUGCAAAACAAGGUAAGUGUAGCGUUUUAAGUGUGUUGAAUGUAUACUGUCAGGGGUGUUUCUUAGUUAUAAAAGCUAACUGAAUAUUUGCAGGUUCCUUUUUCUAAUAUGUUGGAUGCUCAACAAAUGAACUCAUAUUUUUAGUAAUGGUACUAGAAGCAAGCAAUGGAAGUGGCCCCUCAGCGUUUAACUAACGGAAGGAUUUUAGCUGGUGGAAUUCACAUGAAUGAGCACAGUGAAGCAGUUAGGUACUUCACCAACAACGUGUACCAAGAUCAACUACAUUUCGCUCAACCAGGCCAUGAAUUUAACAACAGCUUUUCGACAAACCCGUCCGUACAUAAUUUGCAACAAGAUUCAAAUCAUUUAAUAAUUAACUGAUUUGUAUAAAAACAGUCAGGUGUUGUAGUAUAAUUUGUUUUGAUAUGGAGUUGAUGUAAAUUUCCCAAUACCAACUUGGGCUUGGGAUGGUAUUUCAUUUAAUACCAAUUUGGUCAGAAUGGUAUCCUAUUAGCAUACUAAUAAGAGAUAUAAUGGUUUCCUAUUAGCAUACCAGUUAGAGCUAGAAUGGUACCAUUGUAUAAAAGGCAUCUUCAUUAA